rnacentral:snRNA from 1 species
UCUCGAUUCGGCAGCACGUAGACUUAAAUUGGAAAAAUACAGAGAAGAUUAGCAUGGCCCUUGUACAAGGAUGACACGUAAAUCUGUGAGGCGUUCCAUAUUUUU